rnacentral:rRNA from 1 species
AUUGAACGCUGGCGGCAGGCCUAACACAUGCAAGUCGAGCGAGCGGCGGACGGGUGAGUAAUGUCUGGGAACCUGACUGAUGGAGGGGGAUAAGGACUGGAAUCGCUAGCUAAUCCCGCAUACCAUCAGAUGUGCCCAGAUGGGAUUAGCUAGUAGGUGGGGUAACGGCGUACCUAGGCGACGAUCCAUAGCUGGUCUGAGAGGAUGACCAGCCACACUGGAACGUAGACACGGGCCAGACUCCUACGGGAGGCAGCAGUGGGGAAUAUUGCACAAUGGGCGCAAGCCUGAUGCAGCCAUGCCGCGUGUGUGAAGAAGGCCUUCGGGUUGUAAAGCACUUUCAGCUGGGAGGCGUUACCCGCAGAAGAAGCACCGGCUAACUCCGUGCCAGCCGCCGCGGUAAUUC